AGAAGGACAUGUCAUUUGCAAGAAAAUGGAUAAAGCUGGGGAUGAUCAUACCAAGCAAAAGAAGCCAUUCUCAGACAAAUAGCGAACGUUUCCGCUCACUUUCGGGUCCCAGGUUUUGUGUGGACGCAUAAAUUAUACAUGUACAGACGGCAUGAAAGUAGAAACAAAACUGUCCAAGGGAUAAAGAGAACCAACAGCAGGGAACCGGAGGAGAGAGGGAUAGAGGAAAACAUGCUAAAAGUACAUUACAUACUUGAAAAUUACCUUAAGAAUCCAGUAUCAAAAUUAAGGUAUUCAAUUUACUAUUAUUCUUAGGGAGAAUGAAAUAUUACAGUGGCCAAAGAACAAAACAGUGGAAGGGAAAUAUUGAUAUAUUCACAAGAUGAAAUAUAUCAUUUUAAAAAAAGCCAAAUACAGUCUUGACUAACUUUGCAAUCAAUGUGUGUAAUGUAAGUACCAAGGAAAAAAUAUUUACAGUACCUUACCAGUUAUUGAGGAUAAAAUUACAUUUAAAAGCAAUGACUAGGGGCUGGAGAGACGGCUCAGCAGUUAUGAGCACUGACUGCUCUUCCAGAGGUCCUGAGUUCAAUUCCCAGCAACCACAUGGUGGCUCACAACCAUCUGUAAUGGGGUCUGAUGCCUGCUUCUAGCGUGUAGGUGUACAUGCAAAUAAGGCACUUGUAUACCUAAAAUAAAUAAAUCUUUUAAAAAAAAAAAAAAAAGCAAUGACUACACCCCGAUGGAGUGACUCCAUCUUUAUGAUUAACUACACUCCUUAACUCACCCAUAAAUAAAAGUGAUAAAUUCUCUCAGGGCCACGUGAGAAUUAAAAAUGAAAAGCACUGACACAGUGCUUGAUAUGUGGUCAGCAAUCUGCAUUUGCUUAACAUAUCACAGAUGCUAUAAACAGCAAAGUCUGCAAUGAUUUCCCAAUGAAGAGAUGAAAGUCAAAAUUCUAAGACCUAAAAGGCUGUGUGAAAAGGAGGUGCUGCUCUUGUAGAGGACUGGGGUUUGGUUCCUAGCACUCACAAGGCAGCUUACAACCUCCAGCUCCAGGGACCUGAUGCCCUCUCCCAGUCUCUUGGGAACUGCAUGCACAUACAUGAAGGCAAAGCACUGAUACAUUUGAAAAAUGAGGAAUUAUUUUUUUAAAAAUGUUAAUGGUUCUUAUUUUAUGGAGGGAGAGAGCAAGAGAUGGACAGAGGGAGAGGGGGAGAGAGUGAGAGGGAGGGAGGGAGGGAGGGAGGGAGGGAGGGAGGGAGGGAGAGACAGAGAGACAGAGAGACAGAGAGACAGAGAGACAGAGAGACAGAGAGACAGAGAGACAGAGAGACAGAGAGAGAGAGAGAGAAUGAGUUCUCGAGACAACACACGGGGUACCCACCGAGGUCAGUAGAGGAGGGUGCUGGAGCCCUUGAAACUGGAGUUACAGAAGGCUGUGAACCGCCAUGUGAGUACCGGAAUCAAACCCAAGUCCUCUGAAGGAAAUGAGUGGUCUGAAGCUGGGCUAUUUCUCCAGCUUCAGGUUAGAUUUAGAAGUUAAACAUCUUUACAUUUCUAUUACGGAUUCAUAGUAAUAGAAACUUUGCUUGGGCUUUUUACUCAUUAAACGUUUUACACAGAACAUUUCCCUCCAAUUUCUAGUGGUUACUGAACAAUAUAAUCUUCACUUGCUCCGCUCUCUGCCGCUAAGCUUUAAGCUCCAUCUUCAUGGCUACAUGUAGUACGGCAGUGUCUUGACUGGCAGGGUGUGUGCAUGGUUUUCCUCCUCAAGAAUGCAUCUUCAAACAGAGCUUCCAUUUCAAAUGGGAUGGGAUGUAAUGGGCUCUGCUCCCAGACUGACCUGUCUGGGAUGCAAGCAAACACUGACUGCUCAAAAAUGCCCAUUCCCCCAUUGUACCUCAUGCGUUAAAAGCCCUUUUUUGGUGUUUUAUCAGAAUGUGUGUCGUGUUUUUGGUACAAGGACUUGUUGAGAAUUUCUUGGUUCCAUUUAUUCCAUUUCAAAGAUCUCAUUCUUUCCCAGCAAGACAGCUUCAUGAUAAAGGCUUUUGCGCCAAACCUGAGAACUUGAGUUAACUCCCUGAACCCAUGUUGUAGAUGGCAAGAAUGUCCAAACAAUGUCCUUGGAUCUCCGAGUGCAGGGGCACACACGCAAAGAGACGAUAUGAUACAAAUUAAUAUCUCUCUUUUCCUUUAGAGCACUACAGUAGCCCUCCCACAUACACUUAAAUUUUAGUGUUUCUCAGUUUCUAUAAAUUCUCCCCAAAAGAUUAAGAUUCUAGCUUAUCAGCAAAAAAACGGGAGUCCUUGUCUGUUAGGAACCCACACUAAAAUAUUUAUGGAUGGAGUGUUAUGACAGAGGACAUACAUCAAAAUAACCAAGGGCUACAAGAAACACCAGGGCAGCAUCCACGGACUGAACGAAAACUUAGGCUAAGCGUAAGUGGGCUCACGUAGGCCCAUUCUCCUCUCUCCUCCAUCUAGAUGAGGGGGAGGGGGUUGUUAUUUAACUCCAUUGUUUUGUUUCUUAAUCUUAGAACGUUAAUAGAGAAAGUUAAUAAAGAAAUAUGAUGAUUUAAAUAACAUCUAUAAAAACACGCCCACCAAGAUCUUCGAAGGCAGAUGAUUCGAUGAUUAUAAAAAGAACAAAACCAAAACGACUGAAGGAAGGCAAAGGCGGAACUGAAGCAAACAAGUACAGCGUUUAGAAUCUCCACUGGACUUGUCAGUAGCUCCCACAGAUAAGAACACACUCCAAGGCCUUUUUCCAAACCAUGCCUUCGGCAUGCCGUGCUGGCUCGCCAAAACAGCCUCAGUAUUUAUAUCGUGCAUUUCAAGAGCACAAUCACGCCUCUGUGUGUGCCCACAGGAACAUUUGAUAAGUCACUUUAUUAUGCAGCAAUAUUAAAUAAUCCAAAUUCUCUUGGUGCCUAAAUCACAUCUUGGUACCAAGUUAGGCACAUCGCAAGCACUUGCAGAGUCGGUUUGCAGUAGAGUUUCGUGUGUAUCCAGAGGCAGAUGAACUAGAACAGCAUUUAAAGGGGGGUGGGGGAGCCCACAUCCUUUACCAAGGUAUACUAUGAGGAAGUGUCGCCUGACUUAUGAAUAGAAAGCACUUGACCUUGGAGUAGGUGACAAUGGUGAGGACUGAGGACAAGGGGAACAAGGGAGUGCAAAGGUACAAACCCUUCUCAAGACCUUCACCACAAUUUUAACAUACAUCAAAAGCUUGUUCAAGUAUGUUUUCUUUAACGGCCAAGUAUACACAUGUGCAGGAGGAGGUAUUUGGAGCGCUCUGGCUCUGAAUUAUUCAGGUGGGGGAAUGAUAUCUCCAUCAUUAUCUGCUAAAAUAAUUCCCUAAAAUUGGAUAGCCGUGGGAGAGGAGUGUGGUUUGCUAAAUCUCCUCCCAUUUACUGAGCCUUGGACAGGUAUGGUGGGUGGGAUUCAAGGAGUGAGAGUCUAGACACUCUCUUGAAAGGAUGAUCUCUGAAGUGUUUUCCUGACAAAAAACCCUGCGGUUCAGAGAACAGGUUGGGGCUUGAGCUCCCUAAAGGGCGCACGCACGAGUUCACCUCCCACAGACACCAGAAAAGUGGCUUCCCUAUAAAUAGUAAAAACACGAAAGACACAUGUGUUAAAUUCAACUGACAGUAUGCAAACUAUUAUAACUGUCAAGGUCCCAUUGGUGAAAUAUAAGAUACCCAAGAACUACUGGAUAUAGAUCAAUCUCACUGUGCAUUAUUUGAAACCUCAUAAACAGGCUCUAAAUUGUGUGUGUCUGUGUGUGUGUGUGUGUGUGUGUGUGUGUGUGUAUACAUAUAUAGAGAGAGAUAGAUUUAACUGUUAAUAUAUGUGUGUUCAUAUGUAUCAAUAUGAAUGUGAUAAACAUUAAAAAAAAACCACAAAGAGUCCAUAAAAAACAAAGCAAAACAAAACAAACAAACAAAACAACUCUAACAUUAUUCUAAAGUUCACUCAAUUACUAGCUUUCAGUUUUGAUGAUCCUAUUUUUUUCUUGUCUUUUAAUGAAAUUCACUGUUCAUGAUUUUAAAAAAAUAAGCAUAAACAUAGGCCCAAUACUAAAGAAACCAAACAGUAAGUUUCACAAUCCGGUUGUGACCUGUGUGGGUCCCCAGUCAAACAGCUCUCAGCUGCACAGACCCCUCUACAUUGUGCCUUAAAAACAAUAGCUUGUUCAAAAACAAACAAACAGAACUUUUCAAAGGUAUCUGAGGUGCUCCUGUAUACACUAACUUCCAAUAGUUCCUUAUUGUCUAAUUUGCAUAGAGACAGGGAUGACUACUUAAGAGUUCUUGAUUUUUUUAAUCCAUAAUCACAUUUGAUAAGAACAAUAAGGUGACUCCUUGUAGUUUUGUGAGUCUAUAAAAAUAUGAACACAACAUUUUCACAUAAUCUCCUGAAAAUUACAGCACAAAUUUACUUUUCUAUAACCUUUCUGUGACCUUGGCAUUUUAAAUUAAAUUGCUUGGAAAAUAUCUAGAAUUUUACCCAAAAAUGUGACUUCUGGUCUUCAUCUGAAGAUGUUCUACAACUUCCAAGACUUUAUGAGAGCAAUUUUAAAGCCCAGAUCCAAUUCAGUCUCCCUCUCUUAACAUGAAUUGCUGCUAAGUCCAAGCAGGCUUUUAAAAGCUUCAGGAGAAAGAAGCCCUUCAAGAAAUGGCUGCUUGCCGGGUGCACACCUUUGAUCCCAGCAGCAGACAGAAGCAGGUGCAUCUCUGUGAGUAGGAGGCCAGUUUGGUCUACAUAGUGAGUUCUAGGUCAGCCAGGGCUAUGGGGAGAGAGAAGGGAAAUGAGCGAUUAGGGAAGGAGGGAAGGAGGGAGGGAGGGGGAGGAAGGAGGAAGGAAGAAGAAGGGAGACUAGUCUCAAAAAACAAAGACAAAAGAAAAGAAGAAAUAAAAUGUUUACAUUGGCAAAAAGAAAGAAAAGAAAGAAAGAAAGAAAGAAAGAAAGGAAGAAAGAAAGAAAGAAAGAAGAAAAUAGGAAUACUAAGAUGUCCUGUAGAUGCUGGGUGUGAGGAUGGGAUGGAGGUGGGGCUGGGGAAGUUGGGGUGGGGGUGGGGAUUAGAUAUCAAGGAUUGUUAAGGGAAAAUGUGUCUUUGCACCUGGGAAUACAGCUCAGUACUCGCCAGAAUUCACCAAGUUCCUAGCGUGAUUUGAUCCCCAGGACCAAAUAAACUGGGCAUGUUGGUGCCCACGUACAAACCAGUAUUUGAGAGGUGGAGACAGGAGGCUUAGGAAUUCAAGGUCAUCCAUGGCCAUGUCAAGGUCAAACAGGCUGCUUGAGAAUCCAUCUUUUUUUUUUUUUUAGGGACAUCUCUAAACUGCCUAUUGCUGUGACACUUCCACAGCCAGGAGCAGUGUGGCCGUCCAACAGAGCUCCUAGAACCUACAAUGAAUACCACUUAGCCACAGGAGCCACCUUCCAGGGGUCCACAGACAUAUGCAUGUGUUUCAGGUGGUCUGGCAGAGUUCCGCAUACAUCUGAGACAGUCAGUCAUGUACAAAAGAGAUAGGCUUGGUUUGAGUGAAGGAGGAGACAGCCUUCUCCACUCAAAGACUAACAGGGGAGACAACUCCAGACGCUUCUUGCUUCUAUGUGGAGAGCUGAGGUUGAGACUAAUUCUUUAAUUUCUUGAUGAUUUCACAUAUGCAUUAAUUAAUUUCGACCAUAUUCACCUCCCAGUCCUUCCCCUUAACUCCUCCAGAUCCACCUCCCACUCCAAGAGGCUGAUUCUUUAAAGGCCUUUUAAGUUACAUCGUCAAGCUCAAAAAACAGUACCACCUCACUGUUAAGUCUCCCCAGCACAACUCCCAGUGUGCCGGGACCUAGAGCCAGACGCUCUCGUGUACUCAAGUUACAUAACAGCUCUUGGCUCUGCCCUCCGAAGUGGCUGUGAGCUACUGCCCCCUCCCCACGUUUAUGAAAGAAAGUAUUGUGCUGGGCACAGAUUAAUGGUUCCUCACUAGGAAUUUGUAAAAGAUAAUCAGUAAUGUAUUCAGAUCAACAUCCUCUACACAGAAAACAACGAAUUUCAAAGUUGCGAACGAAGCAUUCCAAGUUGGUUUGGUCACGACAGAUGACCAUAUAGAACAAACACUCCCCAAAACCGUCUUCUCCUCUUACAGAGCAUAACCCGUAACUGGGAGAGCCCUCCCGCCCCUGAGUGGAAGUCUGCAACGCCCUCCAACCCCACCCACAGACAGGCUCAGCUCUUCACGGUGGUUAACUUUGGUCUAAGAAAACUACAAAUUUAGAAGGGGAGAAUUCAGAGUUGCUUCGCUGCACCCCAAGAAAUAACACCCUAGAAACUCAAGCUAAUUAAGAACCCAACAACAACAACAAAAGCAGCACCUGUUGCCGACAGCCACGAGGAGAGACUGGCUGCAGUUGGUUCUCCGCAUGCAUUCUAAUCCAGCUAACCACAGCGUGUGCAUGUGCUCGUCUUUACCGACACUGGACUGAACGACCUGGAAAUACCAAACAUCUGGCUCUCUGCUGUACGAACUUACAUUGGAUUCCGGGAUUCUAAUACAUUCUCAUGUGAUCAGAACUCUCAAAACCAAAGAAACUAAAAGAAACCAUCAGAGAUUAUUUUAUAUGUCAUAGACUAGACCCCAUCCUUUAUUUUUGUUGAGGUCUGAUUACUCAAGUCCGGUGACCAAUGUCGUAAAGGGAAGCAACAGCAUCAUUUCAGCCAUGAUUCUUAAAUAUGACCUCCAGGCUACAGUGCACACUUCCUGAAGAAGGGCACUAAUGGCUUCAAUACUGUGACUGUCUGCAUGUCAGCUGUGUCCACCUUGGAGGGCAGGUCUGGCAAGCACAGGAAGGUUCAACUGUCACCUCUGUGGCUUACAUGAAAAUCCCUCCACCGAAUCAUCGUUUUCCCUGCGUGUCCGUGGGCCCCUCUGCCUUACUCCACGCUCUGCUGAGAGAAUACUGAAUACUGAAUAAACACCUUGUGCCUCUGGCCCAGCUUCACUACUGGGCUUACGUUGCUCUGCUCAAUGGGGACUUUAACACCCCUGAAACCUCAGGAAGACAAAAUUAAUUAACUGGAAGAGGUAUUAGAGCAAUGUGAGCAGAAAAAGCUACGUUGUGGAGCUCCUGGAAACGGAGCACCAGGAACAGAAGCAAACCUAGUCUAAAAGAAAGAGUGCGAAGCAGACAGGAGAGGACAGAGGUGUGAACAAGCUGAAACCUAGAAAGAUUUUUUUUUAAUGAAAAAUAAAAGUCCUUUUACAAGCAGCACUAAUACUGUCUCUUCACAAAAGAAAACAUGGUGAUUGACCCUGAAAUACAAACAAAAGCCAGCGUGCGCACCGGGUAAACUAGCCUUAUCAACAUGCGAAGGAUCCCUCUUAAUCUAGAAAUUGGUGAGGAGGAUGAACCCUCCAGAUGAUGUCUGAGAGGAAGCCACAGGUAAACGUAAAUACACUCCCUGUCUGUGACCUUACUGGUCAUUCUCUGCCACACGAGAACGGAGUUCUUAGAGUUCUGACUUCGCACCACUUCAAGUGCCAUGGAAACACACGUUUGUCAAAGCUCUGUGGCGAGACAGGCGUUAUUACUGUGCUGAAGUGUAAAGAGGCUCCAAAGGACAAGUAAAGCUUUUCUGUGGAGGGAGGUCACUUCUGGAAGGUUCUACUCAAGGUGCCUGCAGCAGUACACCUGAGGCUUGCCUCUCCCUCCUAAUCUCACACAACACACCAAAAUCCUCUCCAGUCCCAACAGUUCUGAAAUGAAAAAUAUAGUUCUUCCCGCUCCAAAUACACCCAUGAGUACCUCCAACACAGCAGAGACUGCGGUGAAAUCUUAGAGAUGGCGUUGGCAACAAAGGAAAACAGGAUGUUCUGCCAACAGGGGCCAGAAGAGGGUCUUGGAUACCUUGGAGCUGAAGUCACAGGCUGUGGCCAACUGGCACAGGAGCUGUGAGCUGAACUGCGGUCCCCUAAAAGAGCAGCAAGUACAUCUAACUGCCAAGCCGUCUCUCCAGUCCCACCUACUUAUACUUAAACAAAUCAACUGAAAUCUUCAAACGGUUUCUUAUACGAGGAAAACAAUAGGACGUAACUCCUUUCAACGUAUCUUCUUUUGUGGGUAUGUCUUGGGACCCAUGAGACUAUUACAGAUAACUGUAAAAUAAUAUGUCUUAUAAGUUAUUAUGUUUCAAAAUAAAAUAAGUAUAACCAGUUAUUGCCUUAA